UUUACGCUUUUCAGGAGUUGAAGCAAAGCCUUCCCUAUCUCUCCUUCUAUGUUCUUUUUACUUUGGUUUCGGGAAAUGAUGAGAAACUGAGAAGAAACGGCCAAAGUCUGAUUCGCUUAGGUACUGGCUCGGAUUUCGCUACAACCUUUGGUUGGAAAAAUGAUCCUUGUGAGGCGGUGGAGCGCAUUGCUAAAGGUGUAUAUUGAGGUGCAAAUGCAACAUUCCAUUUUUUAUUAGAUCUUUUUAACUCCUAAUGCGA